rnacentral:rRNA from 1 species
UACGGAGGAUGCGAGCGUUAUCCGGAUUUAUUGGGUUUAAAGGGUGCGUAGGCGGACUGUCAAGUCAGCGGUAAAAUUGAGAGGCUCAACCCCUUCCCGCCGUUGAAACUGGUGGUCUUGAGUGGAUGAGAAGUACGCGGAAUGCGUGGUGUAGCGGUGAGAUGCAUAGAUAUCACGCAGAACUCCGAUUGCGAAGGCAGCGUACCGGCAUCCAACUGACGCUGAGGCACGAAAGCGUGGGGAUCAAACAGG